GAUCACUGCGUUGGAGUGACAGGUGUUUGACUUCCUUGUCUUCCAGUGGGCUCCCAUCAUGAUAAACUUCAUUCACAUCAUCCUGGUGAUCCUGGGCAUAUUUGGUGCAAUACAGUACAGAACACGCUACGUUAUCCUGUACCUGCUGUGGAUGCUCUUAUGGCUCAGCUGGAACAUCUUUGUUUGCUGUCUGUACUUGGACUUGGGAGGAAUUUCCAAAGAGAGGGACAUUCUCUCCCUUGGAGUGUCGGCGCAUCGCUCUUGGUGGAAGGAAAACGGGCCAGGCUGUCAAAGUGACUGGCUUCGGUCCACAGGCUGGCAGAACCAGAACCAGGGGAACCCAGAGCUGACCACUGUGUCGAGCUGCUGGGUGGAGUACCAGUACAUAGAAGUCCUGCACAGCAUCAUCCAACUCUUUAUAUCACCACAGCUCUCAGCAUUUGUUUAUGCUUGCUAUGCGGUCAGUCUUUUCUCCAACGAAGAGAAUACCGGUAAGUAUGCAAACACUUGUAUAAUUAUGGAUGACAUUGAACUUAGACCCCAUCUUCAAACAAUCCAUCCAUCCAUUUCUAUAGCUUGUCCCUCUCAAUAAUCAAAAUAACCAAUUUCCUUUUGCAUUUUUGCAUUCUGUUUGUACAUUUUGUCUAUUUCAGUGAACACAAUUGGUGAGUUUCACAGCCCAUCCAAAUCACCUCACUUCUUCUACUAGUCUAAACAGCUGCAAUUAUAGGGAGCCUUGUUGACAAAGACGGCCACCCAUUUGAUGACAUUUCUUCAGCUGUUUGUUCUUAUUUAAAUCAUAUUUCAUGGAUGUUAAGCUCCAGUGAUGUGAAAAAAAAGUAUACAAUAGUAUGAUAUAACUCAGGGGUCGGGAACCUUUUUGGCUGAGAGAGCCAUGAAAGCCAAAUAUUUCAAAAUGUAUCUCCGUGAAAGCCAUAUAAUAUUUUUUAACACUGAAUACAACUAAAUGCGUGCAUUUUUCCGUAAGACCAACAUUUUUAGGGUGUAAUAAGUUGGGGCGGUAUAGCUCGGUUGGUAGAACGGCCGUGCCAGUAAUUUGAGGGUUGCAGGUUCAAUCCCUGCUUCCGCCAUCCUAGUCACUGCUGUUGUGUCCAUGGGCAAGACACUCUACCCACUUGCUCCCAGUACCACUAACACUGGUUUUAAUGUAAAAAAUAGAUAUUGGGUUUCACUAUGUAAAGCACUUUGAGUCACUAGAGAAAAAGUGCUAUAUAAUUCGCUUCACUUCUUAUUCUUUUUAAUAACAUUGUUAUUCUAAAGCUAACCAAGAAUAAAUAUAAUACUUCUUACCAUUAAUGCGACUUCUUGAACAGGUGCGAUAGAAAAUGGAUGGUUGGAUUAAAAUGCAUGAGAAUUUUUUAUAAUUUCAACGUUAUUUUUAACACUGUGAUUACCAGCAGAAUUAUUCAUUACAUAUCGUGUUAAGCAAUGUCAGCUAAGAUUUAUCGGAGAGCCAGAUGCAGUCAUCAAAAGAGCCACAUCUGGCUCUAGAGCCAUAGGUUCCCUACCCCUGGUCUAACUAUUAAGGCAGUGGUUCUCAACCUUUUUUCAGUGAUGUACAUCCUGUGAACAUUUUUUUUUAAUUCAAGUACCCCCUGAUCAGAACAAAGCAUUUUUGGUUGAAAAAAGGAGAUAAAGAAGUAAAAAACAGCACUAUGUCAUAAGUUUCUGAUUUAUUAAAUUGUAUAACAGUGCAAAAUAUUGCUCAUUUAUAGUGGUCUUUCUUGAACUAUUUGGAAAAAAAGAUAUAAAAAUAACUUAAAACUUGUUGAAAAGUAAACAAGUGAUUCAAUUAUAAAUAAAGAUUUCUACACAUAGAAGUAAUCAUCAACUUAAAGUGCCCUCUUUGGGGAUUGUAAUAGAGAUGCUUUUGGAUUCAUCAACUUAAUUCUAAACAUCUCUUCACAAAAAGAAAUAUUUAACAUCUAUUAUUAUGUCCACAAAAAAUCUAGCUGUCAACACUGAA